UGAGGAGGCCGAGUCUCAGAGAGUUCAC
rnacentral:piRNA from 1 species